ACAAGAUGGACUUUUAAUAAAAUUUGGACUGUCUACACAGUAGAAACACAAAAACAUUUUAGAAUUAGUGCUAGUUGAAAAAAAGAAAAAGGGCUGCAGGGUUCCUUUUUGUCAAAAAUGUUAACAUCCAUAAUGCACUUUUGAUAAUGACGUUACCCCUCUGUUGAUCUGACUGUCUAUGGGCUGAAAUACAAAAAUGUGGAAGUUUACAAAAAAAAAAGCUCUGGAGCUGUUGAUAAAGCAAAAUUUUGUUUUGCUGAAAAUAAAAUGGGAAGAUUUGGGUGCAGGUUACAUUAAUUUUUACUAACAACACUGAAACAAUACAAAGCAUUUUGUAUAUUUGAUGUUAUUUUUGAUGUUUUUCUGGAAAUAUCUUGCGUGUAUGAUCACAUGUUGAGUAAUAUUAGGUGUUACGGGGCAAACGAGAUGUGAGACAUGCAGAUCCAUUUGCAAGCUUUAUUUAGAAGAUGUGGACAAAAACAGGUGGGGGUCAGACAAUGGCAAACAGGUAUAUUGAGGGCAAGACAUAAGAGUAGUCCAGUGAGCGGGCGAGGUCAAUCUCCGGUGAACAAUGUCCAAACAGGGUAAUCCAAAGGGUAAAUCUGAAACACAGGCGAGGGGUAAAUGGUAUCUGAACAGGGCGAGAUGAGAAGGGUAAUCCAGGACAGGCAAUAAGCAGGAAACGAGACGUGACUAGACUUAGGCUGCGUUUGCACUUGGCAUUAACAUGCAAUCACCAUGAUCUGAUCAAGCAGAUCGGAUCAUCAGAAUGGCCCGGUGCAAAGUCAACCUGAAGUGGUGGGUUUUCUUUUGAAAAGCAUUUUCAGUCGCAGGACAUUUUACAAAUCAAAGAUAAGUGUAGGAGUCUCACUAGUCUCCACACGGGUGUUCUCUGUCUUUUUUUUUUGACAGUUUGCUAGAGAGGGGGUGGCAUUUUGCAUGAUGUCGACCUGCAAAUGCAGACAUGAUGGCCGGAUUGCAUUUACACUACACUGAGAUCCGAUCACAAUGCGUCCCCAACUACCUCUGAACCAGGACACGCUGAUCAGAUAACAUUCUGAUUCAAAAGUAUGUUUACACUUGUCUUUUCAAUGGCUGCAUUGACACUUGGCAUUAACAUGUGAUCACCAUGAUCCGAUCAAGCAGAUCGGCUCAUCAGUCAGUCAGAACACGGCGCGUUUACACUUGGCAACAUCAACUGACUUUUCUAUUUGGAUAACCGGUUGGAUCUGUCUUUCCCGUGCAAUAUUUAAAUAAGUCUGCAGAGAAUGGCCCGGUGCAAUGUCAAUCUGAAGUGGUGGGUUUUCUUUUGAAAAUCAUUUUCAGUCACGGGACAUUUUACAAAUCAAAGAUAAGUGUAGGAGUCUCAUUAGCGCUCCACACGGGUGUUCUCCAUCUUUUUUUCUGAAAGAUCGCGAGAGAGGGGCGGCGUUUUGCGUGACGUCCAACUGCGAAUGCAGCAACGAUGGCUGGAUUGCAUUUACAUUACACUGAGAUCCAAUCACAAUGCGUCUUUGACUACCUCUGGACCAGGACACGCUGAUCAGAUAACAUUCGGAGCAGAAGUGCGUUUACACUUGUCUUUUCAGUGUGUAUGUGGACAACAUCCGGAUACAGGUCGCAUGUUAAUGCCAAGUGUAAACGCAGCCUUAGACAAGAACUAGAAACUCAAACUAGGACGGGAACUGGCUCCGUAAAGAUGCUAUCACAGACAGAGCGAUAAGUGCAAACAAUACUCAGCGUUGAAUGGUGGUGUGACACUGAUUUAUAUAGUGUGUGCUAUUGGUAGCAGCUGUGUGUGUAAUCAGUGCAAUGGAUGAUGGGAAAUGUAGUCCGGGAUGA
ensembl:lncRNA